rnacentral:lncRNA from 10 species
CCGGCCAUUAUCCCUCUAGAAAAGGGGGUUCUAAUAAAAUUCCUCUCCUGUUCUUACAGGGUACACAUGCAAAAAAAAAUCAGCUAAUUUCUAUACUUUGUUAAUUAAUUGUUGACACUGGUUCAGAGUAGGGUUCACUGUUGUUUUCUCCUUUCCCCUCAGAACUUUGACAUUUCCCCAGUGUAAACGCAGAGAUCUACUUUCAUUCCUGUCAUUUUUUUGUUCCAUUCUUUUCUCUCCCACAUUGUCCUUUGUUACUGAUCUUCUAAGCCCUUGACACACCCACUAGAAUGAAAAGCAGGGCCUUUGUCAUUUUCCCACUGCUCUGUCCCAAUCCCCGUGCCAUGCCUGAAACGUCGGGAGUCCUUGAUACCUAUUGGUGGAAUGUAGGGUUAAUCCGAACAUUGUCUUGAGCACUGUGUCUUACUCGGAAUUGCUUCCAGGUGGUGUCCUGCUGUCUUCUGAGCAAUAGAGACUCCACAUGGCUGCCUGAUGGCCAUUUCCAAAGGCAAUCGUGCUGCUCUCCUGCAUAAAGUCUCUCAGACGAGUCAUCACAGGAGUUGUUGACAUCUGGAAGGCCUGCCUAUAAAUCCUGGAUCCUUCCGUGCUAAGCCAAGAUUCAGGUAUAUGAAGUGCUUUCCGAGAUUAAAGCAGAAUAAAAAUGAACAAAGACUGCACUGGCACCAUUUCAUCCUGAAAUGUAUUUUUAAAAUAGUGGAAGAAAAUUAUUUUCUCUUAGUAUGAAUUAUGCAUCUAUUAUUAAUAAAUGGCAUUUAAUAAAUGACAGAUAUAUAAUUCAGAGUAAUAAAAACAUAUUACUCUCUAUGAAUAAACUGUGAGCCAUACCUGAGAAUAAUGGAGCCAAGUAACGGGCCACGUGCGUGAACCACAGGACUCCCUGUCCCAGGCCAAAGGCCCUGUUGCCAGCUCCCAGCUGCACCGAUGCACGUCAUUCAGCCGACCUUCCUACGCAUGUGUACCCUUUCCCUUAAUUUCAACCAGCAGCCGUGACAGCACUGUUUAUCGCAUAGUAAGCAUUUCUACAAAACCUGUUACCCGUAGUUCUUGGGCUGAAUAAAAAUCAUUUUAAAACAAGGAAACCAGAAUAUCGCAUUACCCAAAUUAUUUUUGAAAGAUAAAAGAGAAAGGUGAUACUCAAAUGUGAAAAACACCAGUUAUAGGCAUCUUUUUCUAAAAUUUAGGUGUAAGGUCAUUUCCUGAAAAGAAAAUUGUUGGGUUUUAGAUUAUUCUAAUGGAAUAUACUUGAUAAGUAUAAAACGUGUAAUUUCUAUGCUUCUUUCUUCAAACCAUAUACCUGUGUAAAAUCACACUUUUGUAUUAUAUUCAAGUGAAAAAUAUUGUAUAGCUACAAACUUGAUUUUAUGUCUGCUUUUGAAGAUCCAAAAAGUGGCAUGAUUUUUGAUAUUCAACAUAUAUAUGCUAUAAAGAUCUCAAAGCACAG